GACAGUUCACGAAAGCUGUUGCAUUAACAGGUAGGCUAUGCAAGACAGUGGUUGAAUCUGCGAAAUUAAUCUUUUUUUUUUUUUUUUUUUUUUUUUUAUGUCGGUAAUGUUUUGUGCUCUUGGUCUUCUACUAGUGCUAACAACUUGUACAACAUAUCCACGUUCUAAGAAGCUGCUUGUCUAAUCAAAUUAUAAUUGUACUCUCAAUCAGAUCAGAUCUAAUACAAAUAACUACAUUUUCUGUUGUUGGCACACUUUGUAGACAAGACAACCAUAAAAAAAAAAACAAAAAAAACAAUGCCUUCACAAAAAAGAAGACAGAGACAGAGAGAGAAAGAGAGAAGGGAGGCUGCUAAAGGCAGUUCAACAUUGCAAACAUGGAUUCAAAGCUCCAGCAAGCCAGCAGAUGAGGCAGAGGCAGGCUAAGAGAGUGAGGGAGAGCCCAUUCAGCAUCAGCCAAAUCAGACACUUACAGGUAAGUGUUGUUAAACUGGCUGACAAUAAAGGAUUCUGAAUAUGCUAGAGUUUUAUAACAAGAAAGAUAGACAUUAAAUUAUUUGAAUGGAAGAGUAAUUAUAUUACAAGAACAUACAUUUAAUUAGCACUAAAGCCUAACAAUUGUAUUUAAAAUAUGAUUGUAACAGGUUUGUUAUUCAUUCUCUAUAUUAAGAUGAAAAUGCGUCAGAAUCAAUUCAACGGAGUAAAAGUGAAGGUCUUGGAACUGAGCCGGAGACAGAAAAAGUUCAGAAUGAGAAAGAAAGGCAAUACAAUGAGACAGAGAGGGAAGAGACAGAUGCAGAACAGGAAGAAAUGGAGAGUGAGGCAGCCACCAGCCAUGUAUACAAGGGAGAAAAAGCCAGAAGACUUUGAGUUUUUGCUUCAGUUACAAAAUCCAUCAGAUCCUGCUCAUGUAAAGAAAUACAAUGUAACAUACAGUGUUGCUGUAAAUGGAACAAGUAAAUAUAAAAAAGUAUCAGUAAUGUGUAAUUGUGAUGUUCUAUCAAAACUUCUACAAUAAAGUCUGAAAUGUA